UCCCUGAUGGCUCAGAUGGUAAAGAAUCUGCCUGCAGUGCAGGAGACCUGGGUUUGAUUCCUGGGUUGGGAA
rnacentral:tRNA from 1 species